rnacentral:hammerhead_ribozyme from 1 species
ACACUGCUGAGGAGUCCCAUAGGACGAAACGGCCGUCCAGUGC